UAGUUGAGCAUUAAUAGGAUAGCAUAUCAAUAUAGUAAACCUCUAUUCAUUUACCUUGAUUUAGGUGUUAAUUUGCUCAGUUUCUUCCUGUAGUCAGUUCAUUUUAUACAGUGAAAGAAAUCUAAAUGAGACAAAAAUCAAGGCAUUUUACUCCCUAACAGAUGUUGCAAAACAAAUUUUAUCUACUUUGUCUUCCCUCAUAAUUGUUUCACCGACUUUUGUACUUCAGGGGAAGUGGGGAAAACAUCAUUGCAGUCAUCUCCAUAUCAUGAACCUCUGAGAAAAAAAUCACAGAACACAUAGGAACUCCCUACAUUUUAGUAGCUGUCACUUGUAUAAGAAUUUUAGUAAUUGAUUUAAUAUUUUCUUGGCCUGAAUAAUGCAACUGAAAUUCCAUGCCACCACCCCAUCCUCAUUCUCUUGGUUGCUCGGCAACAUAGAACAAAGCAGAGACCCAACCGAACAAAAAAGCAGGUUUAACUGUCACAGAAAUGAAACGUUUUCUUUCAGAUCAGAGGAAACGCCAGAAGUUAUCUGUUGAUAUAUAUAUCUAAUAUGUGUAGACAACAUUUCACAGAUGUUGUCACAACUCUGUGCUGAAGAAAUUAAGUGCAUCCUGUGUAACUCCACUGGUAGACUCUUGGAAGCAUAUGCAUGGUUUCCUACAGACUUCAUACUGAGAGAGCCUUUUCCUGGACUGAUUUUGUUUUGAGUCCUUCUGCUGUAAUAUAUAACCGUCAUAAAUACAACAACUUCUGCAUCCUGUGA